AGGGGUGUAUUUCAAUGGUAGAAUGUUUUUCUAGCAUGCAAGAGGCCCUGGGUUUUAUCCCCAGCACCAUUU
rnacentral:tRNA from 2 species